GGUGUGACUGCGUACCUUUUGUAUAAUGGGUCAGCGACUUAUAUUCUGUAGCAAGGUUAACCGUAUAGGGGAGCCGCAGGGAAACCGAGUCUUAACUGGGCGUUAAGUUGCAGGGUAUAGACCCGAAACCCGGUGAUCUAGCCAUGGGCAGGUUGAAGGUUGGGUAACACUAACUGGAGGACCGAACCGACUAAUGUUGAAAAAUUAGCGGAUGACUUGUGGCUGGGGG
rnacentral:rRNA from 1 species